UACGUAGGGUGCAAGCGUUAAUCGGAAUUACUGGGCGUAAAGCGUGCGCAGGCGGUCUGUUAAGACCGAUGUGAAAUCCCCGGGCUUAACCUGGGAACUGCAUUGGUGACUGGCAGGCUUUGAGUGUGGCAGAGGGAGGUAGAAUUCCACGUGUAGCGGUGAAAUGCGUAGAGAUGUGGAGGAAUACCGAUGGCGAAGGCAGCCUCCUGGGCCAACACUGACGCUCAUGCACGAAAGCGUGGGGAGCAAACAGG
rnacentral:rRNA from 1 species